GGGAGGGGUGCAAGCGUUGUUCGGAAUUAUUGGGGCGUAAAGAGCGUGUAGGGCGGUCCGGGUAAGUCAGAUGUGAAAAGCCCUGGGCUCAACCCAGGAAGUGCAUUUGAAACUACCAGACUUGAGUACGGGAGAGGAGGGGGGAAUUCCCGGUGUAGAGGUGAAAUUCGUAGAUAUCGGGAGGAAUACCAGUGGCGAAGGCGCCCCUCUGGACCGAUACUGACGCUGAGACGCGAAAGCGUGGGGAGCAAACAGGAUUAGAUACCCUGGUAGUCCACGCCGUAAACGAUGAGCACUAGGUGUAGCGGGUAUUGACCCCUGCUGUGCCGUAGCUAACGCAUUAAGUGCUCCGCCUGGGGACUACGGUCGCAAGACUA
rnacentral:rRNA from 1 species